CAAAACGUCAGGUCGAGGUGUAGCGCAUGAAGUGGGAAGAAAUGGGCUACAUUUUCUAAUAUAGAAUAUUACGAACAUGCACCAUGAAACAAUGCUUGAAGGAGGAUUUAGUAGUAAAAGGGAAAUAGAGUGUCCCUUUGAACCCGGCUCUGAGACGCGUACACACCGCCCGUCACUCUCCCCUGUCAAAACGCACCAAAAAUACAUAAUACAACAGCACUGACAAGGGGAGGCAAGUCGUAACACGGUAAGUGUACCGGAAGGUGCACUUGGAUCAAAC
rnacentral:rRNA from 1 species